UACGGGAGGCAGCAGUGGGGAAUAUUGCACAAUGGGCGAAAGCCUGAUGCAGCUAUGCCGCGUGUAUGAAGAAGGCCUUAGGGUUGUAAAGUACUUUCAUCGGGGAGGAAAAACAAAACUAAUAAUUUUAUUUCUUGACGUUACCCGAAAAAGAAGCACCGGCUAACUCCGUGCCAGCAGCCGCGGUAAUACGGAGGGUGCUAGCGUUAAUCAGAAUUACUGGGCGUAAAGAGCACGUAGGUGGUUUUUUUAAGUCAGAUGUGAAUCCCUGGGCUUAACCUAGGAACUGCAUUUUGAAACUGAAAUACUAGAGUAUCGUAGAGGGAGGUAGAAUUCUAGGUGUAGCGGUGAAAUGCGUAGAUAUCUGGAGGAAUACCUGUGGCGAAAGCGGCCUCCUAAACGAAUACUGACACUGAGGUGCGAAAGCGUGGGGAGCAAACAGGGAUUAGAUAC
rnacentral:rRNA from 1 species